UACGUAGGGGGCAAGCGUUGUUCGGAAUUACUGGGCGUAAAGGGCGCGUAGGCGGCACGGCAAGUCAGGAGUGAAAGGCCUGGGCUCAACCGAGGAACUGCUUUUGAGACUGCCGAGCUAGAGUGCAGAAGGGGCAACUGGAAUUCCCAGUGUAGCGGUGAAAUGCGUAGAUAUUGGGAAGAACACCGGUGGCGAAGGCGGCGACCUGGUCCGAUACUGACGCUGAGGCACGAAAGCGUGGGGAGCAAACAGG
rnacentral:rRNA from 1 species